GAUGAACGCUAGCUACAGGCUUAACACAUGCAAGUCGAGGGGCAGCAUAUUUUUAGCUUGCUAAGAAUGAUGGCGACCGGCGCACGGGUGAGUAACGCGUAUCCAACCUUCCCAUGGCUCAGGGAUAACCUUGCGAAAGUAAGCCUAAUACCUGAUGUCCUCUUUAGCAGGCAUCUAAAGAAGAGGAAAGAUUUAUCGGCGAUGGAUGGGGAUGCGUCCGAUUAGCUUGCCGGUGGGGUAAAGGCCCACCGGGGCGACGAUCGGUAGGGGUUCUGAGAGGAAGGUCCCCCACAUUGGAACUGAGACACGGUCCAAAACUCCUACGGGAGGCAGCAGUGAGGAAUAUUGGUCAAUGGGCAGAGCCUGAACCAGCCAAGUAGCGUGCAGGAUGACGGCCCUAUGGUUGUAAACUGCUUUUAUAAGGGAGUAAAGUGAGAGUCGUGACGUCUUUUUGCAUGUACCUUAUGAAUAAGGACCGGCUAAUUCCGUGCCAGCAG
rnacentral:rRNA from 1 species